UAGAGCCUAGGUUUAGGUCCCCUCCGGACGCCGCAACUCGUUCUCACGAUCAAUUUUUUUUCGGUCUCCACCUCCCUUCGAUCGAACAGAUCGAUUCUUGUCUCAUUGCUGGCGUGCUUGUUCCAGUCCGCCUCCGAUCGGCGGCAACACGUCCACGGAUGGGUCGGGCCUGGUCCGCGGAUGCCCGAUGGAAGAUCUCCCAGGCUGGGCCUGUUCAAGCCGACGCUUGUGCGUGCUGCUGCUGCAGCUCCCUGGGUGGCCUCCAGAUCGAAGCUCGACAGCAAGAAUUGACUCAAAUCUUCAGAUCGAUGACCAGCGACUGCUGCCUCCCCGUAUUGCGCACGCUGCUCUCCACCGCCACUAGCUCUGCUGCUGCUCGCUUGUGGUGCAUCUCUGCUCUUCUGAUGCCGCUCCACGCGUCUCUCUGCACACCGCUCGCUUGAUUUGGGCUCCGUGACUCUUCCAGCCAGCUCUCUGUACCUACUUGCAUGCUUCUGCUUUGCCGCUUCUCUUCGCUAGCUUGUUAGCUUGUGUGCUGCAUCUCGUGCUCCCCAUGGUCGUUUGGUACUGCUGGCGUGCUACUACCUCUCUACUCGCUUGCUACUUCGCUGCUACUCUGCUGUUUUGGCCUCCCUGCCAUGAUUUUCUUCCGCUGCUAUCGCAUCUACUCUAGUAUGUGUUCCCAACUUCCUAAUUUUCUAUAAUUUUUGCUGCAUCCACCAAAUCCGUUGAUAUUUUUGUAUUUUCUCAUCUCAUGUGAGUCCACCAAACUUUUAUCCGUCAGCCUUUUUCUGGUCAUUGUCCUCUCAAUAGGAUUUCUGUGGCCUCUCUUUGCAUUGUUGAUCUAAGCCUAUUCUCUUGCCUCCAAGCUUCUUCGCCGCCGGUUUUCAUGGGCCAUGAUUCUUUAAGCAAUGCUUAUUCUCUUGACGUGCCAUCUUCUUUUGACAACCCAUCUUCUAUUGAUACUUCCAUUGUAUCUUCUAUCGAUGCGAUGUCUUCCUCUGAUGUGCCAUCUCUUCGUUAUCCCCUUUGGCGACUCGACAGGUUUUGAAGACUCUUCAUGCUACGACGACACUCUCAAGACGCGGAUUUGGAUUAUCAUUUAUCUCUACUCCUAAUGUCUCAGUUGGUAGUCUCCGCGGUUAAUUUUCGUCCCACCUACCAUGAUUUUUUUCGUCCCUCCUCCACAUUCGCUGGUUUUUUUCGUAGAUUUUUUUGUCCCCUCCCCCACUUCAUCGGUUUAUUUUCGCGUCAUCCUCUCACACAAAGAAAGAAAUCUGAAUAGAUCAGAACUUUCCAUACUGGCACAAGUUAUUUAGUAAUGUAGAAUCAACCACGAACAAUCUCUAAAGAUCAAAUCUCAAUUAAUUAACCAUACCUUAAAUCACUCACUCACAUUAGUUAGAAAACAAAUAAUUGAUUUUAAGAAAAAUCGCUCAAUCACAUUAAUUAGGAAAUCUCUACUCCUAAUGGAGCAGUUGGUAGUCUCCGUUCCGGGUUUUUUUUCGUCCCACAUUCGUCGGGUUUUUUUCGUCCUCCUCCACCUCCCAGGUAGCGAUGCCGUUGCACCUAACACAUGCAAAAAAACCGGACCAAGACCACAUAGCGAGGCCCCUCGAACAAAAAAAAAGCGAACGAAAAAUGUAGCGAUGUCCCUCGGACAAAAAAAACGGAUGAACGGGGAGCGAGCCCCCCUCGCAUCCCCACCCACCCGUGCCCCUUCCACCUGGGCUAGGGUUCCAUACGCCGCCGCCUCCGGGCAGACCACAUACGCCGACGUCGAGGUCCGAGAGGAGAGGGCCGCCGGACCGUCUUCCUCCUCCACAGACCUCCGAGGCGCCCUACUCGUGGGAAGACGCCGCCGCCGCCUUGCGAGACCCCAAGGCAGGGCAGGGCGCGGUCGCGUUGCGGGCAGCGAGGAGCGGCGCGCCGGCGCCGGCGCAUGUGUAGCCAGUUAGCGAGAGAGGAAGGGAGUGGCGACGAUAUCUUCAUGCGAGGACAAGUACUCUGCCGCCGCCGGGCCGCGGCGACCACGAACGUGGAGCUGCUGAAGCGGUUUUGGCCAUUGGUCGUGUGGUCGUUCUUCAUAAUACUGAGAAGGCCGCGCCGGAGAUCCUCCACUUCAAACCGGACCUCGUCUCCCGUACUGAGGAGACGUUCGAUGACUUCACGGAUAACGGCAUAGACGAUCUGGUGGUCUCGCUGUACCAGAUGGAGCUCGACCGCACGCUCUUCCUGCUCUGCUCCUACCUACGCCUCCGCCUGUAAAAGAUUGAGAAGUACAUGGCGCACAUCUUCAAUUCUGAUGAUCUCUUGAGCUGGUUGAUGCAGCAAGAGCAGUGAUGCGCCAAGAGUUGGAGGCUGCAAGGAGAUCAUGGAGAACCAUCUCGAGCAGCCGGUGAUGUCGACGCUUCCCUACGGUUAUGAUUCGUAACGAGGCAAUCCUCAUCGAGCACGGAGGAUGACGUGGGUAUUCCACUUGAUCUUGAAAUUAACAUCACUUCUUUGUCACGGGCGUUGCCUCCACCAUGCGCUCGGCCUACCUCCUGCGCCACCUGUCGGGCUCGUCCUCCCGCUGUACCUCUCCUCGACCAUCUGGCCCGCCUCUGCACAUGCAUCACCACGCACCCCAAUGGCGCUCGUGCCUUCGAGUCCCUCGGCAUUCGUGGGGGUGUUCGCAGCGUCGGGCUUGAUCAACGAGUUGACGGAGUCCUCCGGCGUGACGCACCUGCUGUAGAAGUUGGCGUUCAAGGACACAGGGCACCAGAGCCACUUGCAGAUCGUGCAGGAGGUGGAGGCCACGGGGCGUCCAGGUAGUAGUUGGUGCACAGCUACAACAUGCUCUCUAGGCAUACAUACCGCAGGCCGUGCGUUGAACAUUCUUCUUUGAUGAUAAGUAACAGACUUCUUCCUCCAAUGGCUGAAACAGGCUUUGUGAUUUACUCCUCUGAUUCUCUUUUGACAUGCUGAUUAAUUCCUCACAAUUUUCUAGAGUAAAUCCAUUCUUACAUAUAAAUUAGUACGCUUCAUCCUUGAUCUAUACAUAUGAUCUAUUUAUUCGGUUCUCAUUUGUUGUCAUAAUGUCUCAUAACCUUGUAGUUUCUUCAGACUGGUUCUUAACUGAUGUUGGCCCUGUUGAAGUUUUUUCUAUGGAAGCAUUGAUUCAGUUGUAGUGAUAUGUGUGUGGUGCUUGGUCACCGAAUCAACAUACUUGAAGAGAUAGCUUGCUCUUGUCUUUUACUUUUACUUUUACUUUUUUCUAGACAAUGCCUUUGAGAAAUAGGAAAUAUGAAUUCAUAUUAAAAAUGCAAGAAAAUAAUCAGAAGGUGAUUAAGGUUUAUUUUUAGCAAAACAUUUGUACCCAGGAAUAGUGUGUGCCGAGCGAAUUUUGACACUCUCUUUCUCCUAACAUGUUUCAGGGCCUCCAUUUUCUCGAGUAUGCCGCAGGCUAUGUCGUGCUCUCUUCGAUCACGCCUCCUACAUGCCCCUCAUGGUCGCACAUGCUGCUACCUUCCUUGACGGCCUCUUCGUCACCAGUGUGUGCCGCGGUGGCUGUCGUCUCCAUGCCACCCAUCAGUAGCGGUGGCAACUCGACUCUUGCCUUAUGCACCCAGACCCAUCUGCUUCUCUGAUUUGAUUUUGUGGGUUGCACUGAUCUCUCUUAGUACAUGUCUAUUUGCAGAGAAAUUAUUUAUAAUUCAGUCUUCAGGAAGACUGAUCCAGUACUGGAGGUACAUUUCUAAACAUUGUGCUUUUGUCAUCUGUUGGGCACUUCACUGAACAAAUUCUGAUCCUCUAGGUUUAUGAAUUGUGAAUUCUGAUUUAUUUUAAGCCGGACAUUCUGUCACUGUGUCAUGUAUUACAUACAUCUCUCUUGUUCUUCCCCAAAAACUAAUGUCCUUAUCUGCAUUUUUGGGCAACUUCACAUACCCUUCUGUGUCAUUUAUUACAUACAUAUAUACAUGGUUUUUUCAUCUAGCUAGAAGCUCAUUGGUCAAGCAUGCCACAAAAAAAAGUUAGGCGGUGCAAUGCAUUUCUAGGAAUUAACAGCCCCAUAACUUGUGACAAUAAACCGAUUGCGGCAUUGAAACUUGAUGUAAUUUACUGCUAGGAAAUCUUAUAAUUGGGCAGCACAAUAACAGAGAUGUGAGAGUUGCUAAUUCACUUCUAAUGAAUGUGCCAUGGGACCCCUAGCUUCAUUAUUCAUUGGGGGGUCUAACCGUCAAGCCGUAUGUCGGCGCCUUCGAUGCAGAGUUGAUUAUACUGUCUAUUCUACUGCAAGUAGGGAACGAUGGCUCUGGAUAUCGAUAUCCUUAGGUGUUAAUGUAGUGCUAGGCCAUAUAGUAUAUGACUGAGUUCUUUCACCUCCUAAUCCUGGGAGUAAUUCAAUUCAAUACUUAGGAAUUUUCUCUCUACAUAUAAUUGACUAACAUCAAGUAAGAGAACUGUUAGGUGCAUCCACACUCCUGCUUGAUCUAUGUCCGAGCUCCCUACUUUGCAUAGCUAAAUCUGUUGGUGACUUACCGGACUGAAUGGAAUCGCUAAGUUGAUGUUCCGUGGAAUUGCUAACCACCUCUCAAAGGUUUAAAGUUUGAUCUCUUUGUUAUUGAUCUCAGAGAGAAAUGGGUUCUGCAGCUCUGAUGUGAUAGUAUUUGUAACAAACAGUGACAAAAUCUAUACUGUGCACAGACAAUUACUUUGAUGGUUGGAAAAAAUAUAGUCGUUAGUGCCUCUCUUUAAAGUGUACAUGCUGUAAUAUAGCAAAAUUAGAGAAACAUCUUGAGUACCAUGCCCAUGCACAGUGUUACUUGCAUUUCAUAUCCCUUAGAUGAGAAUAAUCGAAUGUAUGCAUAUAUCUAUAUCUUUAGUAGUCAUUUGAUACUUUUUUCUCCAUGUGGAGAGUCCAAUUUGUGAUAUUCAUCAAUGGAACCAAAACAUCUUCACUUUUGCUUCCUAUUUCAAACUGAUAGUGCUUCAUUUAUGGCCUACAACAAUAUUUUGUUCCAAUAAAAACAUAACUACAUUUUUUUUACUGAGGGGGCAAUCUUAUAGUGAAAACAUAUAUUCUUAUAUGCAUUCGGCAUCAAUAUGUUUCUUAUGA